GACGAACGCUGGCGGCGUGCUUAACACAUGCAAGUCGAGCGGUAAGGCCCUUUCGGGGGUACACGAGCGGCGAACGGGUGAGUAACACGUGGGUGACCUGCCCUCAGCUCUGGGAUAAGCCUGGGAAACCGGGUCUAAUACUGGAUAUGACUCCAUGACGCAUGUUGUGGGGUGGAAAGCCUUGUGCGGCUGAGGAUGGGCCCGCGGCCUAUCAGCUUGUUGGUGGGGUGANGGCCUACCAAGGCGACGACGGGUAGCCGGCCUGAGAGGGCGACCGGCCACACUGGGACUGAGACACGGCCCAGACUCCUACGGGAGGCAGCAGUGGGGAAUCUUGCGCAAUGGGCGAAAGCCUGACGCAGCGACGCCGCGUGAGGGAUGACGG
rnacentral:rRNA from 1 species